CAGCAGCCGCGGUAAUCCGUAGGUGGCAAGCGUUGUCCGGAAUUAUUGGGCGUAAAGGGCUCGCAGGCGGUUUCUUAAGUCUGAUGUGAAAGCCCCCGGCUCAACCGGGGAGGGUCAUUGGAAACUGGGAAACUUGAGUGCAGAAGAGGAGAGUGGAAUUCCACGUGUAGCGGUGAAAUGCGUAGAGAUGUGGAGGAACACCAGUGGCGAAGGCGACUCUCUGGUCUGUAACUGACGCUGAGGAGCGAAAGCGUGGGGAGCGAACAGGAUUAGAUACCCCGGUAGUCCCUGUCUCUUAUAA
rnacentral:rRNA from 1 species